UGGGACACCACCAGUAAAGGGCACUCCCCACGAACUGAGCUAAUUCCCGGCGGUAACCAGUGGGAGGUGCUGCGGUGGUGAAUCCCAACCCCGUCACAAGGAAAUUCUCAAAGGC